GAGUUUGAUCGUGGCUCAGAACGAACGCUGGCGGCGUGCCUAACACAUGCAAGUCGCGCGAGAAAAGGGGGGCAACUCCCUGAGUAAAGCGGCGCACGGGUGAGUAACACGUAGGUAAUCUACCCUCGAGUCCAGGAUAACCUACCGAAAGGUGGGCUAAUACCGGAUAUGACCACGGGAGUCUCGGCUCCUGCGGUGAAAGGUGGCCUCUGCUUGCAAGCUACUGCUCGGAGAUGAGCCUGCGGGCCAUUAGCUAGUUGGUGAGGUAACGGCUCACCAAGGCGAUGAUGGCUAGCUGGUCUGAGAGGAUGGCCAGCCACACUGGGACUGAAACACGGCCCAGACUCCUACGGGAGGCAGCAGUGGGGGAUAUUGCGCAAUGGGCGAAAGCCUGACGCAGCGACGCCGCGUGGGUGAUGAAGGCCUUCGGGCCGUAAAGCCCUGUCGAGGGGAACGAAACGGUCUCGACCUAACACGUCGAGUCCCUGACGGUACCCCUAAACGGAAG
rnacentral:rRNA from 1 species